GACGAACGCUGGCGGCGUGCCUAACACAUGCAAGUCGAGCGGGGAUUUAAGUGGAAGUUCUUCGGAAUGGAGAUUUAAAUUCUAGCGGCGGACGGGUGAGUAACGCGUGAACAAUCUGUCCCGGACAGGGGGAUAACACUUGGAAACAGGUGCUAAUACCGCAUAAGACCACGGCCUCGCAUGGGGCUGAGGUAAAAGGAGCAAUCCGGUUCGGGGUGAGUUCGCGUCCGAUUAGCUAGUUGGUGAGGUAACGGCCCACCAAGGCGACGAUCGGUAGCCGGCCUGAGAGGGUGAACGGCCACAUUGGAACUGAGAGACGGUCCAAACUCCUACGGGAGGCAGCAGUGGGGAAUAUUGGGCAAUGGGCGAAAGCCUGACCCAGCAACGCCGCGUGAGGGAAGAAGGUUUUCGGAUUGUAAACCUCUGUCCUAUGGGACGAAGGAAGUGACGGUACCAUAGGGGGAAGCCCCGGCUAACUACGUG
rnacentral:rRNA from 1 species